rnacentral:rRNA from 1 species
UACAGAGGGUGCGAGCGUUACUCGGAAUUACUGGGCGUAAGGCGUGCGUAGACGGUUCUUUAAGUCGGGUGUGAAAGCCCCGGGCUCAACCUGGGAAUUGCAUUCGAGACUGAAUAGCUAGGGUACGGUAGAGGGAAGUGGAAUUUCCGGUGUAGCGGUGAAAUGCGUAGAUAUCGGAAGGAACAUCAGUGGCGAAAGCGACUUCCUGGACCAGUACCGACGUUCAGGCACGAAAGCGUGGGGAGCAAACAGG